rfam:Candidatus Brocadia sinica JPN1 DNA, contig: brosiA.
AUCGAUAAAGGCAAACCCAGAGUCAUCUGGGGACGCAAAGUAAAGGGUCUUGCUAGCCGUUUAAGCGGUUUAAACAGUUUAAACUGCUUAUGAGACAGCCUUACUGCCGAAG